UACGAAGGGGGCUAGCGUUGCUCGGAAUCACUGGGCGUAAAGCGCACGUAGGCGGGUCCUUAAGUCAGGGGUGAAAUCCUGGAGCUCAACUCCAGAACUGCCCUUGAUACUGAGGAUCUCGAGUUCGGGAGAGGUGAGUGGAACUGCGAGUGUAGAGGUGAAAUUCGUAGAUAUUCGCAAGAACACCAGUGGCGAAGGCGGCUCACUACAGGAUGAUUGACGCUGAGGCACGAAAGCGUGGGGAGCAAACAGG
rnacentral:rRNA from 1 species